rnacentral:rRNA from 1 species
UUAGGUACCGUCACUCAAGAGCCAUUUCCUACUCUUGUCGUUCUUCCCUAACAACAGAACUUUACGAUCCGAAGACCUUCAUCAUUCACGCGGCAUUGCUCGGUCAGGCUUUCGCCCAUUGCCGAAAAUUCCC